rnacentral:rRNA from 1 species
UACGUAGGUGGCAAGCGUUGUCCGGAAUUAUUGGGCGUAAAGCGCGCGCAGGUGGUUUCUUAAGUCUGAUGUGAAAGCCCACGGCUCAACCGUGGAGGGUCAUUGGAAACUGGGGAACUUGAGUGCUGAAGAGGAAAGUGGAAUUCCAAGUGUAGCGGUGAAAUGCGUAGAGAUUUGGAGGAACACCAGUGGCGAAGGCGGGUAGCUGGGCCGACACUGACGCUGAGGCGCGAAAGCCAGGGGAGCGAACGGG